AUUGAACGCUGGCGGCAUGCCUUACACAUGCAAGUCGAACGGUAACAGGUCGUCGGAUGCUGACGAGUGGCGAACGGGUGAGUAAUACAUCGGAACGUGCCUAGUAGUGGGGGAUAACUACUCGAAAGAGAGGCUCAUACCGCAUGAGAUCUACGGAUGAAAGCAGGGGAUCGCAAGACCUUGCGCUACGAGAACGGACGAUGGCAGAUUAGGAUGUGAGUGGGAUAAAAGCUUACCAAGCCGACGAUAUGUAGCUGGUCUGAGAGGACGAUCAGCCACACGGGGACUGAGAAACGGCCCAGACUCCUACGGGAGGCAGCAGUGGGGAAUUUUGGACAAUGGGCGCAAGCCUGAUCCAGCAAUGCCGCGUGCAGGAUGAAGGCCUUCGGGUUGUAAACUGCUUUUGUACGGAACGAAAAGCCCCGGGUUAAUACCCUGGGGUCAUGACGGUACCGUAAGAAUAAGCACCGGCUAACUACGUGCCAGCAGCCGCCGUAA
rnacentral:rRNA from 1 species